rnacentral:rRNA from 1 species
GUCGUAACAAGGUUUCCGUAGGUGAACCUGCGGAAGGAUCAUUACCACACCGAUCUAAGAUCGACACUUUGUGAAUGGGCGAGCCCGUGCUGUAUGUAGUACGGCGAGCCAGUUUGAAACGAAAAACAAACCUAGGUGGGUGUAGUUCGCUGCACCUGCCGCCCCCACUACAGAUUACACCCAAACAACUUAACAACUGAAGUCAAAGGGAGGUGUUAGGCGGAGUGCUGUGUUAACUUUGUUAGCCAGCCCUGCCCCCUCUCGGUAUUAGCCUUAAAUCUAGUACAACUUUCAGCAACGGAUGUCUAGGCUCCCACAACGAUGAAGAACGCAGCGAAAUGCGAUACGUAAUGCGAAUUGCAGGACCUCGUGAAUCAUCAAGAUUUUGAACGCACAUUGCGCUUCCGGGAUAUGCCCGGGAGCAUGCUUAUCUGAGUGUCCGCGAACCCCACUCAACCCAGUAUUGGUUGUUAACACACUCGAUUACUGGUGUUGGAUUAUGGUGCUGUGUGUUUAUUAAAAAAUGCACUGUGCUGAAGCGUGUGGCCUCGUUUAACGACGUAGUGGCACUGUAUGCCGUGCAGCUGUGUAGUUAGUAAAUCAUGUGUCAUUUACUGUACGAGACCGUAUCUGGUAAGUAGGUGGUCAUUCACCCACUGUAGGAUGCUGGUUGAGUCGGUGAGCAUGUUUAUCGCUAAACAGCUUGGUGUCAGUGACCCAGGUUACCUGAGAUUUUUAAAUCGAAAUCUCAACUUAACACUUGUAACCGGAUCUCAGAUUAAGUAAGAGUACCCGCUGAAUUUAAGCAUAUAAUUAAGCGGAGGAAAAGAAACUAACCAGGAUCCCCCUAGUAAGGGCGACUGAAGCGGGGAUAGCUCACCGUGUGAAUCUGUGCAACGCCCUAAACAAGCGUGCACCGAAUUGUGGUCUGAAGAGGUAGCAUCGGCCGUCGUCCCGGGCCAAGUCCCUUGGAAAAGGGCAGCUGAGAGGGUGAGACUCCCGUUCUUGCCUGGGAACCGAUGUGUCAUAGCAUGCGCCUUCUACGAGUCGAGUUGCUUGGGAUUGCAGCUCAAAGCGGGUGGUAAAUUCCAUCUAAAGCUAAAUAUCGGUGGGAGACCGAUAGCGUACAAGUACCGUGAGGGAAAGAUGCAAAGAACUUUGAAAAGAGAGUUAAAGAGUACCUGAAAUUGCUGAAAGGGAAGCGAAGGAAACCAGUGUCGUGCGCGAUUAUAUUUCUCCUGCUGCUUGCGGUAGGGGCGCUGUGGUCGUGCGUGGGCCAGCAUCGGUUUGGUAGCUCGGGGCAGAUGGCAGUGUGGGAGGUAGUCUGUUUCGGCAGAUGUUUAACCAUAUUGUUUCGUCCUGGGUGAGACCGAGGUCAGUCUAGCAAUAGCUCGUGAUGCUGGCGAAAUGGUUUUCUUUACCCCGUCUUGAAACACGGACCAAGGAGUUUAACACAUGUGCGAGUACAGGGGUGGCAAACCCCCGUGCGCAAUGAAAGUGACAGUGGUUGGACCCGUUUUAGUAGCGGGGCACAAUCCGCCGGCCAAAAUCCUUCGGGAGCAAGGUCUGAGUGUGAGCAUAUGUGCUAAGACCCGAAAGAUGGUGAACUAUGCGUGA